rnacentral:tRNA from 1 species
GGUUGUGGCUCAGUAGUAGAGUGCUUGCCUGGCACAUGUGAGGCACUGGGUUCAAUUCUCAGCACCA